rnacentral:rRNA from 1 species
GGGUGAAAUUUUAAAUUGUAGAUUAAUUAUUAUACUGUAAAAUUAGUUUAGAAGCUAUUAAUAUAUGGAUAUAAACUAGGAUUAGAUACCCUACUAUACUAUAUGUAAAAUAAAAUAUGCUGGAGUAGUAAUCAGUUAUGGUCUUUAAACUUAAAGGAUUUGGCGGUGCUCAAGUCUAGUCAGAGGAACCUGUACUGUAAACGAUAGUCCACGAACGAUCUUACUUUAUCUUGUUUUCAGCUUAUAUACCGCCAUUAUAAAAUAAUAUUUAAAAUUAUUUACUUUAAUAAAUUAUAUUUGUUAUAUUAGGUCAAGGUGUAGCUUAUGGUAGAGUAGUUAUGGGUUACAAUAUAUUAUAUAUAAUACGGAUUAAGUUUUGAAUGAGAUUUAUGAAGGUGGAUUUGAUUGUAAGUUUAUUUUAAUAAGUUAGAUUGAUAUAAGCUCUAGGGCAUGUACAUAUCGCCCGUCGCUCUCGUAUUAAAGUGAGAUA